rnacentral:rRNA from 1 species
CCUACGGGUGGCAGCAGUGGGGAAUAUUGGACAAUGGGGGGAACCCUGAUCCAGCCAUGCCGCGUGUGUGAAGAAGGCCCUCGGGUUGUAAAGCACUUUCAGUGAGGAAGAACGCCUGGUGGUUAAUACCCAUCAGGAAAGACAUCACUCACAGAAGAAGCACCGGCUAACUCCGUGCCAGCAGCCGCGGUAAUACAGAGGGUGCGAGCGUUAAUCGGAAUUACUGGGCGUAAAGCGCGCGUAGGUGGCUUGAUAAGCCGGUUGUGAAAGCCCCGGGCUCAACCUGGGAACGGCAUCCGGAACUGUCCAGCUAGAGUGCAGGAGAGGAAGGUAGAAUUCCCGGUGUAGCGGUGCAAUGCGUAGAGAUCGGGAGGAAUACCAGUGGCGAAGGCGGCCUUCUGGACUGACACUGACACUGAGGUGCGAAAGCGUGGGUAGCAAACAGGAUUAGAUACCCUUGUAGUC